rnacentral:misc_RNA from 1 species
GAUGAAGAACGCAGCGAAAUGCGAUACGUAAUGUGAAUUGCAAAUUCAGUGAAUCAUCGAGUCUUUGAACGCACAUUGCGCCCCCUGGUAUUCCGGGGGGCAUGCCUGUCCGAGCGUCAUUGCUGCCCUCAAGCACGGCUUGUGUGUUGGGCCCCGUCCUCCGAUCCCGGGGGACGGGCCCGAAAGGCAGCGGCGGCACCGCGUCCGGUCCUCGAGCGUAUGGGGCUUUGUCACCCGCUCUGUAGGCCCGGCCGGCGCUUGCCGAUCAACCCAAAUAUGUAUCCAGGUUGACCUCGGAUCAGGUAGGGAUACCCGCUGAACUUAAGCAUAUCAAUAAGCGGAGGA